rnacentral:misc_RNA from 1 species
AAAUCUCACAAACUGUUAUGUCAUUGCACUUAUAGUAUUGUGGAUUUGGAUGCUUUGCCUCAGGCAAUCACCAGAAAAAGAUUGUAUGUGCGCCAAUAGGACAAAAUUGGUUAUCAAAAGUGCAACAGAGGAAACUCCAUUCGCUUUUGGCAAUUUAUUUUGAUACUGAUGGAACAUGUGCUCCAACUAUCAACAAGUGUCAAACUAUUUUGGUUUGCUGCUUGAUA